rnacentral:miRNA from 1 species
UGAGAUUCUACUUCUCCGACU